GGUGAGAUGGCCGAGCGGUCUAAGGCGCCAGACUAAGGACCAACACGCAGAGCGUGUACCUAAAUCUGGUCAUUCGUGGCGUGGGUUCGAAUCCCACUCUCAUCA
rnacentral:tRNA from 1 species